GAAAUGCGAAAAGUAGUGUGAAUUGCAGAAUUCAGUGAAUCAUCGAAUCUUUGAACGCACAUUGCGCCCCUUGGUAUUCCAUGGGGCAUGCCUGUUCGAGCGUCAUUUUGUACCCUCAAGCACUGCUUGGUGUUGGGCGUUUGUCCUGCAAAGGACUCGCCUGAAAGCGAUUGGCGGCCAACGUACUGGUGGUAGAGCGCAGCACAAUUUGCGUCUCUCCCUUCUACGUCGGCGUCCAUGAAGCCUUUUUUCAACGUUUGACCUCGGAUCAGGUAGGGAUACCCGCUGAACUUAAGC
rnacentral:misc_RNA from 1 species